rnacentral:tRNA from 1 species
GUUUUAAUAAUUUAAUAUUAAAAUAUUGGUUUUGUAAACCAAAAAUAAGUUAAGCUUUUAAAACU